GCCAGGCGUGGCGGCGCACACCUGUAUACCCAGUGACUGGGGAGGCUGAGGCAGGAGGAUUGCAAGUUUGAGGCCAGUCUCAGAAACUUAGUGAGGUCCCAAGCAACUUAGCAAGACCCAGUAUCAA
rnacentral:sRNA from 1 species